rnacentral:pre_miRNA from 1 species
UAGACAGAUUUUUGUAUUUUAUUGUAUUCGUGGCGUGAAACAGGGGAUUACAACUGUUUUUAAACGGAAAGUGAAUCAAUUAACAUAAUAGACUCCU